AGGUCCCGGCGCCCAGAGUCGCCGCGCGGCCGCCGGUGAGCCGCAUGGAGCCCCGGGCGGCGGACGGCUGCUUCCUGGGCGACGUGGGUUUCUGGGUGGAGCGGACCCCUGUGCACGAGGCAGCCCAGCGGGGUGAGAGCCUGCAGCUGCAACAGCUGAUCGAGAGCGGCGCCUGCGUGAACCAGGUCACCGUGGACUCCAUCACGCCCCUGCACGCAGCCAGUCUGCAGGGCCAGGCGCGGUGUGUGCAGCUGCUGCUGGCGGCUGGGGCCCAGGUGGAUGCUCGCAACAUCGACGGCAGCACCCCGCUCUGCGAUGCCUGCGCCUCGGGCAGCAUCGAGUGUGUGAAGCUCUUGCUGUCCUACGGGGCCAAGGUCAACCCUCCCCUGUACACAGCGUCCCCCCUGCACGAGGCCUGCAUGAGCGGGAGUUCCGAAUGUGUGAGGCUUCUUAUUGACGUCGGGGCCAAUCUGGAAGCGCACGAUUGCCAUUUUGGGACCCCUCUGCACGUUGCCUGUGCCCGGGAGCAUCUGGACUGUGUCAAAGUGCUGCUCAAUGCAGCUUGAUGAAUGUCUGCUCUUAUCGUGAGAAAGUUGAGGAGUGCAGAGCUUACUCUCUUCUCUGAAUUGCCUACUGUUUUGGGGGCCAACGUGAAUGCGGCAAAGCUUCAUGAGACUGCCCUUCACCACGCGGCCAAGGUCAAGAAUGUUGACCUCAUCGAGAUGCUUAUCGAGUUUGGCGGCAACAUCUACGCCCGGGACAACCGCGGGAAGAAGCCGUCUGACUACACGUGGAGCAGCAGCGCUCCCGCCAAGUGCUUCGAGUACUACGAAAAGACACCUCUGACUCUGUCACAGCUCUGCAGGGUGAACUUGAGGAAGGCCACUGGCGUCCGAGGGCUGGAGAAGAUUGCCAAGUUAAACAUCCCGCCCCGGCUCAUUGAUUACCUCUCCUACAACUGAAUUGCAGGUGGGGUCCGGACCGUGGCUGCCCCCGUUGUGCCCAGCAUUGCCCGGGUGAGGGCUCUGCCUGUUCCUCUGAAGCAGCGUGAUUGCUGUAGAUAGAACAACGCUCCUUCGAGUCCCUUCCUGCGAUCCUGUUUAGGCUUCUCUCCUGGAUCCUGGAUAAUGUUUCCAGGGUGUUGGGAAGGCCUGCGUCUCAGGUCACAGUUGUGGGUGUGGCCCUGCGCUGUUCUACAGAACCUACCCUCUCAAUGGGCAUGGGCCCAACCAUCCAGUUUUCCUCUUUUACGGACCAUCCUCAAAGGCACUCUCAGGACAGACGGCGUGGGGAGCACAGAGGAGGCUGGCAGAGCUGGGGACUGAGGGCAUUGUUGCUGAUUCUCACUCACCGGGGCAGCCUGCCGCAGAUGCACAGGCCCCAGGUGCAGGCCACCACCUCCGGGUCGGCACCAGGACUGCCCUCGGUGCUCAUAGGGAAUGGCUGGGCCCACGGAAGGUCGGCCUGGGAUGUGGCCUGGGACUGCUGCUCUGCUGGCUGCUGUGUGGAUGCUUUUCCUGGAGCACUUUCCAAGGCAUCCCCCAGCCCCAAGCCUGCGCGCAUCUGUCACUCAGGGACUUUCUAUGGGUCUUUGUGGGGGAAGGCCCUGGCUUUGUAUUCCCCACAAGUAGCACUGAGUUUCUUAGGAAAUUUGUCUUCAGUAUUAGGUCUCCAACUCUUGUAAAAAGUUUAUAUGUAGGAUAAAAACCUUUUAGAGGACACGUAGGCGGUACCACUAAGGUUUUGGUAAUGAGCCAUUCAAACCGACAGCAGUGUGAAGGUGUGUCAAGGUGUAUAUUCUCGUGGCUCGGCAUUCUCAGUGCAAAGGCCUGUUUGGAGACUCUGUGGGAAUUGUUUUUCAUCUGUUUCUAUGGUUGUCAAAUGAAUUCUUCACCCACCCUACAGUUUGCUAACUCCUUGAAGCUAUCAAAUUAGUAAGACCAUCUAUCACAUCCAGCAUUGUCCCAGUGCUUUGAGUUGGACGGGAAUGGGACUCUGCAGCCAAGGCAGGAUAAGAAAAUCUUGCAAUCCCGUCCUGCAGUGAUAGAAACAGGUCGUUCUGCAUUAUAAGCCAUAGGUGGAGCAUUCGGUAGCGUAUUCAGACUGCAUGGGCCGGCCUAGGAGUCUUUGCCUUCAUAAAUUUUAAGAACCCCGCCCACAACAGGGAGUUAAACUGGAGGACUUUGCAUGAUUAGUUCAGGGAUGAGUGGUUUCUGGGGCAUCUGAGGUCAGGAGUUUGAAACCAGCCUGGCCAACUUGAUGAAACCCCAUCUCUACCCAUUCUGGAGAACAGGUCACGCCUGUCCUGGAGACAGUGUGCCGGGAAAAGGGAACGUGGUACUCACUGGAUGCACCCAGGCCGGCCCGAGCCUCCCACCGCAGACAGUGUGGAACAGAGUGAGCCUGAGCUGCCCAAGGCGAUGCCCUUUGUGCUGUAUGACUGGAGGCCUCUCCGCGUGGGUACUUGGGGGUGGGGCCACAAAUCUGGCGAAAAACUUCAUGCUGGCCGCCGUGAGGUUUUACUCCAGCGUUCCCGCCAUUGUCAUGGCGGGUCUUCGUCCUAAACUGAGAAGAAAAGCAUUCCUGUUUGAUCACCGCCUUAGUUACCAGUUCUGGAUCAGUCAGUGUUUCUGCAUGGAAUAACAACCAUUAAAAAAAGCACUGGGUUCUGCCCUUUCAUCUUUGUAAGAGAUUCUUGCCUCUAGCAAUGACAACCUGUGAUGUCUCACAGUAGAGCACUUAGCGCAGAAUCAGGUCCCCACGGCUGUUGCUCAAUAAAAGUGGCGGAAUAAAGUGCA